UGUGGGAGGGGGCUUGCCCCCGAUAGCGGUGGUUCAGUGAUGAAUUGAUUGACUGAUACACCGCCAUCGGGGGCAAGCCCCCUCCCACA
rnacentral:misc_RNA from 1 species